UGUAAGCGUAUACCAAAGUUGUUGCAGUUAAAACGCUCGUAGUCGGAACUUGGCCGUUCCGGAUGUGUGCACGUCGUGUGCGCACUUUGCAGGGACGGCUUCUGUGGUCUUGCGUAGGAUGAGGCACUUUUAUUAGUGAACGUCCUCACGCAACCACUCUUUACUGUGAGAAAAUCAGAGUGCUCAAAGCAGGCAUUUGCCGUGAAUGUAUUAGCAUGGAAUAAUAGAAUAGGACUCGGUUCUAUUUUGUUGGUUUGUUGGGACUGAGUAAUGAUUAAGAGGGACAGUUGGGGGCAUUUGUAUUUCGGCGCUAGAGGUGAAAUUCUUAGAUUGCCGAAAGACAAACUGCUGCGAAAGCGUCUGCCAAGGAUGUUUUCAUUGA
rnacentral:rRNA from 1 species